ACCAAAUGAAAUCCGGAUUUUGCAACCUUCUUGGUACGCUGAAUUCUCUCAGCAUCUACGUCAACGUUCAACCCAUACCUUGGUUCCAACCAUAGAGCUACAACAGUACACAUCCUGACGUUGGGCGGUAGUCGAGAGAUUUGGAAGCUGUGACUGCAGAGCUCUCAUUACAUCGCCUGUAUUCUCCUCCAUGAUCUGAUCUGAUGUGAUCAUCUUCUCCACAAUCCGAUGGAAGAUAUCAGAUAAAUGUGUCUCUUCCAAAUCCAAAAGGGUUGCACCUUUAAGAGUUUGCGUAGCUCUAUCAGACUAUGGAAUGUCAACGAAGCAAUGUGAGGCUUGCCCCAUCUAUCAGAACCCUCCUCAACAUCCUCCUCAAACU